AGCGUUCACGAAUCGAACAAUAGUGUAACAUAACCUUUCGUCAACUAAACUUGAACGAAAUUACUGGAGUUUUGUUUAUUAGUAUCGCAUCGAUUUUUUUUCUUCUGGCAUUUAGUGGAUUGUGAUUAUCACGCAAGAACUGCUAAACACGAUUGAUAUCAGAUCGUAUCAUCGAUGCUGCAUGAUUCAACCAGCGCGUGAUGAUCACAUAAUAGCGGCGUACGCACCGCAAGAAUGGCAAGCUAUUUAUCCAUCGCGAGAAAUGAUUUUCCCAAAUAAUCACGGACAGCAAUGAAUCAGAUAUUAUGUUGCCAUCGACUGGUUACUUCAAGACGAUAAAUUGUCCGUUUUAUGAUAACGGAUCGUGCGAUCGACCUUAUUGUCACUUCAAACAUGCCAGACGAGAAGAUACAGGAAGCACAGUUGGGGUGGUGGAAGCCCAAACAGCGGGACAAGCACAGGAAAACAAACCUGCUGAUGUUGUGGCUUCAAAUUCCAAUAUGCUUCAACAUUUAGUGACGGAAGCUGUGAAAAAAGUGCUUGCAGAUCAGGAAGUCACAAAUACCGAAAAGGUUUCACAAAACAUUGUCUCUCAAGUAGUGGAAGGACUCAAGCCAACUCUUGUCUCUGGUUCUGCUACCUCUGUACGCAAUGCAACACCAAAUAUAGGAAAGCAUAUUGCAAUUCCUCCAGCUGUUACAAGACCAGUCGCGUGUGUUUACAAUCCAACACCGAUAGCUGAACUGAAGAAACGGCACAUACCGGUGAUCUCGUAUAUGCCAACCAGAGAGAGUAGAGUAGCUGUGAAACGUAAACCCUCGCCAGAAAGGGCUAAAUUAUGGUUAAACGAUAUUCAGGAAUCCAGCAGUUCUCAACAACCUGAAGUUACAUAUAAACCCACCGCAAUAGUCAACUCGACUGACCAGGAUGCUAUACAAAAUUAUGUACCUACUGUUAAAUCAGAUUUACUUUUGUCAAAUUCAUAUGAAGAUAGUAACUCGAAUGAUUAUCAGUCCAAAUUUAAAGAAGAAUAUUAUCCGAGAUCUAAGAAAAGAAGAGAAGAGUACGUUCCUAAAAAAAUUAAAACACCAUUGAAAACAGUCCAACAAUUAAAUGAUACUACUUUGAAUUCGUUUGAGCCAGAAUUUAAUGUGAUCGAUGAGAUUCUCACUACUGGUCGCACUGCUCCUAAUGUACUGGAACAUGUCAAAGCAUCUGCUAGUGAAGAUUCUCAGGAUUAUUCUUUGGAAAUGGAAUCUAAAUUCUCUGAUGAUGAAUCUAUUGAAGAUAUAUCCAAAGAUGAAGAUAAGGAGAGCGUUAAAAAGGCUGAGCAAAUAGAAGAUGUUAAUGAAAAAGAAAAGGAGAAUCUACAACAUACAAGACCUGACACUGUAGAUAAACAAAUGAGCAAUAAAGAUAAAAUUUACAACAAUCACUAUGAUGCCAAAACAGGUGAUACACAAACUAAUGAUAGAUCUAAGCAACAUAAAGCUAAUUAUGCAAGUAAAUCGUCAGACAAAAAAGAGGAAAGUAUGAAAGAGAACACUGAUAAGGAUAAGGAAAGACGCAAAGAUCACAAUAAAAGCAAGGAAAAAAAUAGAAAAGAUUAUCACAGUUCUUCAAAAAAUAAAGAACGAUGUAAGCAUAGAUCAGAUUCUAGAGAUUCUAGAGAUAGACAUGGUUCCUCUUCUAGUAGAAACAAAGAUAAAAUAAGAAGCAGUCGUGAUGGUAAAAAUUCUUUACGUAGUAAGGAACAUUCAGAUUCACGAAAACAUAGACGUGCCUCUCCGAAGAAAGAUCGGAACAAUCAUCACAAAUCUAGCCGACACGAUAAACACAAAUCUACAUCAAACUCAUCUAGCUCCAAAUCGAAUAAGCAUACAUCAAGCAAAAGCAAUAGAAAGCAUCACUCAGAGUCGACUCGAAGAUCUAGUGACUCCUCCAGGAAAUCUAGCAAAUAUAAAGAAAGUAGUAGUGAAAAAAAUUCAUCAGAUAGAUCUGAUAAUUCUGAAGAUGGUUAUCAUUCCUUUUUAAAUGAUGAAAUUUUGGAAUUAUCAGAUUCCGAUCACGAUGUACAAGAAGAAUGCUUAAAAAUUUUUCAGGAAUAUCAAGCCUCUGAUUAUCCAAAACUAGUAUCAGUGAAAAAAUCUUUAAAACAAGAAACCGAAGAUGUAGAGGAAGUCGGUAAAAAAAGGGUUGCACAUUCUUCAGCAGCCACAACCGUCACCAGACAGCUAGGUCCUAGUCAGCCACCAAAAAAACUCAUAACUCCGCAGCAGAAAAUGUACGAACGAUGGCGUUUGAUGAAAGAAGCGGCUGCCGUAAAGGCUGCAGAGAAGGCAACAGCUGAUAUGAAGACUCAAGUUACAAUUGCAUCAGCAGUUCAGUUCGCGAGUAAUUUACAUAAAGAGCAUACGGAGUCCACCUUGUCAAUGAGUAGUGGUGAUCAGUCGAAUACAAAUGUAAUGCAUAUUGCAGGUCGCAUUAGAAUCGCUCAUGUCCCAUAUGCCAAAUCUCUUGCAAUGGAAAAGAAAAAGGUCACAGUAACAAUAGGAAAGAGCGGGGAUGAUAAAGAAAUGAAUAACAAAACCAUAGCGCAAACUACGAAAGGUGGUAUGCGUGUUGCUCAUGUUCCACAAACUAUACCUCAUCUCGUACGUCCAGAACCACUUCAAGUUGCUACUCAGAAGUUUCCCUUAAAUGUUCGUCAGUAUUAUAUUAAUAUGAUGCACGACAUAUGCGUUCAGAUUUAUACGAGUGGCGAUGAUGCGGCGCAACGUGCUGUCAAAGAAGAAUUUGCGUGUCAUGAAAGAUGCAAAGCUCUUGCAGUAUACAAAAAUUCAUGUAUGUUGGCAGCUCAUAGACUAAGAAAAGAAGUCGAUCAGAGUACAACCGAUGAGAAAUCGGCUGGCUCGAGUUUCGGUAUGGUAUCUCAUGAAGCAAUGCUUGCCGGUAAAUCGAAAGGUUCUUGGAGCAUAGUCAAGACCAAAAGAAAUGUGAUAAAUCUUAAAGGAUCUGCGCUUUACAACAUGCUCAAGAAAUGGAUUUUGACAGAAACACAACUUAGAGAUAACGGGUUUCCGCGUAAACAUCCAAAUGGUACAAAGGGGCAGGCGAAAGUGUACGUAAUAAAUGCACGGAAUCAAAGUAUUUUAUCAAAAGUGCCUAACGAAAGAAUAUGCAGCCGAUGUGGACAAGCGUAUAUGGUGGAUAAACAGAGCUUUCCUAUACUACAACAAAAUUGUAUAUAUCACUGGGGAAGGAAGUUCACAAUAAGAGGCGAGGGCAAGUAUAGUUGUUGUCAGCAAUACGGAUCUGCUACUGGUUGUUGCGACGCAAAGACACACGUAUGGGAUUACACAGAUUACGAAAAUCUUCGUGGUUACGUUAAAACUUUAUCGAAAGAUGUUCCUAUUGACGAACAAGGCGUUUAUGCGCUUGAUUGUGAAAUGUGCUAUACUACACAAGGCUUAGAACUAACCAGAGUGACAGUUAUUGACGAAGAUUGCAACGUGAUAUAUGAAACAUUAGUCAAGCCACAGAAUUCAAUAAUCGAUUAUAAUACAAGAUUCUCAGGGAUUACAGAAGAAGAUAUGAAAGAUGUAACAACGACUAUGUUAGAUGUACAAGCUACACUAUUAACAAUGUUCUCGAGUAAAACAAUCUUGGUAGGUCACAGCCUUGAGAGCGAUUUUAAAGCUUUGAAGCUGCUCCAUGAUACCGUUGUGGAUACUAGCGUCAUGUUUCCGCAUAAAAAUGGAUAUCCGCAAAAACGAGCAUUAAAAAAUCUUUGUUCAGAAUAUCUCAGAAAAAUUAUACAAAAUGAUGUCGGUGGUCAUGAUAGCAAAGAAGAUGCUGUUGCUUGUAUGGAGUUGGUUCAAUGGAAAGUAAAGGAAGAAGCGAAAUUGCAGUGAGCGAAAUGUAAUUACAAUGAGCAGCAUAUAAACAAAUAUUAUCGCGAUUACUGUAUGUUUGUUACAGUUUUUGCCAACGGAUGCGCCGACUGAUUAAAUUGGACAUUGUAAGAGAUAAAAACACAUAUGCGAUAUCAACUCUCAUGACAUUUACUAGAAUACAAAGAGAAUCGAUAUGAGAAUUUUCUCGAUUCUGAUAUGCAUCACAAUAUUUCGAUUAAUAUUUUUAUACUUCGUUAUAUUAUUACUUAUUUAUAUUUUAUAGCAUUAAAGAAACGAGAUAUGUUGCACCUGUUUGUUGACUGACUCAACCUUGCAAUAUAGAUAUACUUCAAGAAUCUGCAAUAAAACAGAAAUACAACUUGAUAUUAUAUAUAUUUAGCUUAAGUAAUAAAUUUCUUUUUUUUUA
rnacentral:misc_RNA from 1 species